AUUGAACGCUGGCGGCAGGCCUAACACAUGCAAGUCGGACGGUAGCACAGAGAGCUUGCUCUUGGGUGACGAGUGGCGGACGGGUGAGUAAUGUCUGGGGAUCUGCCCGAUAGAGGGGGAUAACCACUGGAAACGGUGGCUAGUACCGCAUAACGUCGCAAGACCAAAGAGGGGGACCUUCGGGCCUCUCACUAUCGGAUGAACCCAGAUGGGAUUAGCUAGUAGGCGGGGUAAUGGCCCACCUAGGCGACGAUCCCUAGCUGGUCUGAGAGGAUGACCAGCCACACUGGGACUGAGACACGGUCCAGACUCCUACGGGAGGCAGCAGUGGGGAAUAUUGCACAAUGGGCGCAAGCCUGAUGCAGCCAUGCCGCGUGUAUGAAGAAGGCCUUCGGGUUGUAAAGUACUUUCAGCGGGGAGGAAGGCGGUGAGGUUAAUAACCUUGCCGAUUGACGUUACCCGCAGAAGAAGCACCGGCUAACUCCGUGCCAGCAGCCGCAGUAA
rnacentral:rRNA from 1 species